UUGGAAAGGAUUGCUAAGGAUACUCAUGGCUAUGUUGGGGCUAACCUUGCUGCUUUAUGCACUGAAGCUGCUCUCCAGUGUAUCUGUGAAAAGAUGGACAUAAUUGAUCUAGAAGAUGAAUCAAUUGAUGCUAAGAUUCUCAAUUCUAUGUCUGUUACAAAUGAACACUUUAAGACUGCUUUGGGAUCUAGUAACCCAUCUGCCCUCCGUGAAACUGUUGUUGAAGUACCAAAUGUCAGCUAGGAUGAUAUUGGUGGGCUGGAAAAUGUCAAGAGGGAA